rnacentral:rRNA from 1 species
UUGACCUCGAAUCAGGUAGGGAUACCCGCUGAACUUAAGCAUAUCAAUAAGCGGAGGAAAAGAAACCAACCGGGAUUACCUUAAUAACGGCGAGUGAAACGGC